rnacentral:rRNA from 1 species
AGCGUUGUUCGGAAUUACUGGGCGUAAAGCGUAUGUAGGCGGAUCGUUAAGUCGUGGGUGAAAUCCCGAGGCUCAACCUCGGAACUGCCUUCGAUACUGGCGAUCUUCGAGUCCGGGAGAGGUGAGUGGAACUCCGAGUGUAGAGGUGAAAUUCGUAGAUAUUAGGAAGAACACCGGUGGCGAAGGCGGCUCUCUGGAACGGUACUGACGCUGAGACGCGAAAGCGUGGGUAGCAAACAGG